rnacentral:tRNA from 1 species
GGGUCUGUAGCUUAAAUGGAAAAGCAAUUGGUUUGCAACUAAUUAGAUGUGGGUUCAAGUCCCACCGGUGUCCA